rnacentral:rRNA from 1 species
AUGGGGCUCGAGAUGGAGCCGAUGGCGGCGGCGAUCGGCGUCUCGGUGCCCGUGCUCCGCUUCCUGCUCUGCUUCGCGGCCACCAUACCCACGGGCCUCCUCUGGCGCGCCGUGCCGAGCGCCACGGGGCGGCACCUCUACGCGGGGCUCAGCGGCGCCGCGCUCUCCUACCUGUCCUUCGGGGCCACCUCCAACCUCCUCUUCGUUGGGCCCAUGGCGCUCGGUUACCUCGCCAUGCUCCUCUGCCGUCGCCGAGCUGGCCUCGUCACCUUCCUCGGCGCAUUCGGCUUCCUCAUCGCAUGUCAUGUCUACUACAUGAGUGGGGACGCGUGGAAGGACGGAGGCAUCGACGCAACUGGUGCUUUGAUGGUUUUAACGUUGAAAGUCAUUUCAUGCUCAAUGAACUACAGUGAUGGUCUCUUGAAGGAAGAAGAGGGUCUACGUGAUGCUCAGAAGAAGUAUCGCUUGGCUAAGUUGCCUUCUCUAGUCGAAUAUUUUGGUUACUGCCUCUGCUGUGGCAGCCACUUUGCUGGACCAGUAUAUGAGAUGAAAGAUUAUCUUGAAUGGACUGAAAGGAAAGGAUUAUGGGCCAGCUCAACUCCUUCACCAUUAUUACCUACUCUGCGUGCUCUAGUUCAGGCUGGAAUAUGCAUGGGGUUAUAUUUGUAUCUGUCACCUAUGUUUCCGCUUUCACGAUUUAGUGAGCCUCUAUAUUAUGAAUGGGGUUUCUGGCACCGGCUCUUCUUUCAAUACAUGUCAGGAUUUACUGCUCGUUGGAAAUACUACUUUAUAUGGUCAGUCUCAGAAGCUGCAAUUAUUAUAUCUGGCCUGGGUUUCACUGGUUGGUCUGAUUCUUCUCCCCCAAAAGCCAAAUGGGAUCGUGCUAUAAAUGUUGAUAUUCUGGGCGUCGAGCUAGCUGGAAGUGCAGCUCAAUUGCCACUUAAGUGGAAUAUUCAAGUGAGCACAUGGCUAAGAUACUAUGUGUAUGAGAGGUUAAUUCAGAAAGGGAAGAAGCCUGGUUUCCUUCAGUUGUUGGGUACACAGACAGUCAGUGCUAUCUGGCAUGGACUGUAUCCAGGAUAUAUGUUUUUCUUUGUUCAGUCGGCGUUGAUGAUAAAUGGUUCAAAAGUCAUAUACAGAUGGCAACAAGCUGUGAGCAAUUCAGGCCUCCGCACUAUCCUGUCCUUACUAAAUUGUGCAUACACCAUGAUGGUGCUUAACUACUCAUGCAUUGGCUUCCAGGUACUGAGCUUCCAGGAGACCUUAGCAUCCUACAAGAGUGUGUAUUAUGUCGGCACAAUCGUUCCUAUUCUAUGCGUCUUGCUGGGCUAUGUCAUCAAGCCCGCGAGACCUGUGAAGCCGAAGGCUCGCAAGGCAGAAUGA